GAUCUUCCACAGAUGAAAUUAAAGGAGUUAAAAAAAAAAUUAAAUCACAAAACAUUAGUUUGUGGUAUUUUUUCCUUUUUACUGCAAAAUGUUUUAGGACCUGUGGUUUAGUUCCACAUAUUUUGUAACUGUUGACUGAUCAUAAAUAUUUUUAUCACUAUUCAUACAGUAGUGACUUUCAAAAAGGAAAAAUUAUUGUACUAGGUCAUUUUUGAGUAGUGAUCUAAUGCUUUUAUUUUAAUGCUUUAAACCAUAAUAUUAAAAUAGGCAUUACCAGCUUUCUACUAUCAAAUGAUAGGUUCUGAGCCCAUGGGAUAAAACAGUGCUUGCACUAGGGACCCUAAGAUAGGCACUUUAUAAGUAUUCUCUCUUAUCUUCAUAUCAUCCUGGUAAGUUAGGUAUUACUAUUCUACUUUAGGAUUUACAUCUGGAGCUUAGAGAGGUUGAGUGACUUGUCCAAGGUUAAAUAGCUGAUAAGUAAGUAUAAAAGCUGAGAUUCCAGCCUGCCAGAACAUGCAUGCAGUGGGCUCCUAAGUGGUUAGUAUGUGUAGGCCACAGUCAUUUUAGGAUAUUUUGUUUUAUUGGAAAUUAAAUUAUAUCCGUAACAGAGGAGGUAUUUAAGAGCUUCCUACUAUUUAAAAUUCCCUGGUUGGUUAACUCAUGGGUCAUCUUGCAUUGCUGAUUUUUUUUUUUUUUUAAGAUUUUAUUUAUUUAUUUGACAGAGAGAGACACAGCGAGAGAGGGAACACAAGCAUGGGGAGUGGGAGAGGGAGAAGCAGGCUCCCCACAGAGCAGGGAGCCCGAUGCGGGACUCAAUCCCAGGACCCUGGGAUCAUGACCUGAGCUGAAGGCAGUCGCUUAACCAACUGAGCCACCCAGGCGCCCUUGCAUUGCUGAUUUGACCCUAAAAACAAAUCAUAGAUUGGUCACCUGCCUUCUGAUUAAUUUAUUCCAUAAAGUAGUAUUUUAAAGAUUCUAAAAUAAUGCUUUAUCACUGUUAGAGAAAAGGGCUUGAAGAAGGACUAGAUAGUAUUUGAUUAUCAUUUAUUCAGUAUCGGCUGAGUGCAUACCUUCUGUGAGCCAGGCACUGUGCUAGGCGCUGGGUAUGAAGACCGUUGAAUAAACAUGGUCCCCUUCCCUCGUGGCCCUUGCAGUAGAAUGAGUAAAGUGCAUCAGGGUAGGUCUGAAGGCAUAACGAGAGACACUAAGGUGAGAUCAUUUUCUUACAACGGGAAACUCAGUUGCUAAACACAGUUAGGAGAUGAGCCUAUGUGUAAAAACCACCGCAGUGCAUUUACUCCUGUAGGUUGUGUGGAGUUAGGCUGCAGUUCUUAAUCAUGGUGUCCUUCACAACCCAGGAUGCCCUGGGUGAUUCCCAUAAAGGCCUAGGUAUGUACAGUACUGGUGGGAAGGGGCUUGGGUGAACAAUGUCUGGCAGGGAAAGGCUGCCCAGCCUGAUUUGGAUCAUAAAUGCCAUCAAUUUAAAGAAGAGAAAGUGAUCAUGGACCCAGGAGUGGUCAGGGAACGGUCUAUGAAGGCCACAGUGAUUGAGUCGGGCUUUAUAGCAUUUCAGUAGGUGGAUUUCAUUUGUUUUAUUCUUUUUCUUUGGGCUACUACUGUGUGCCAGAUACAGUUUUAAGUAUGGGGGAUAGAGUCAUGAGCAAAACAGACAAGACCACCGCUCUCUUAGAGCUCACAGUUUAGGGAUGGGGGAGGGAGACAGACAAUAAAGAUGUUAAUAAGGUUAUUCCACAUGGUGUUAAAUACAAUGAUGACAGUUGAACAUCAGUGUUAGAGAGAAUGUUGAGGAUGCUGGUGGUGUUGGUGAGACUUUGUUUUGGGUGGCUGGAAAAUCAUCUCUGAGAAGGUUAUACUUGAAUGAAACCUGAGUCUGAGAAGGAGCUGGGCAUGCAACAGUCUCAGGAAGAGGCCUGAGGUUGAUGGACAAAGCCAUAAAGAUGAGAUGAUGCAUUCUAUGGGGGGGGGGGGGGUGUUAUCCAGCAAAGAGCUCCAUCCUGGAAGGGCAUGGUUGGAACAGAGGCGGAAAAUGUAGGUUAGUGCCAAAUUAUGGAGGGUCUUGAAUAGCUGAAUGGCACAAGACUGAGGACUGUGUAUUUCUGUGGGUGUAUCAGGGGAUGAGUAGUUAGGAGAGAGGAGGAGAAUCUGGAUGAGUUUUUCAUGGAAGCUUAAGGAAGCUUGUGUAACUGGGUUAUUGAAGUUGAGUUCAUGUGACCUAUGAUAAGGGACACCUAAAUAACAUCCCAAUCACUUCCUAUUGGAAACUGAGUGUCGUCCUAAAGUGUGGCAUACAUGGUGCUUGGUUCACUACUUCGGAUCAGGGGGAUGCAGGAGGAUUGUCCUACAGAUGAGAUCAUGGAGGCUUUGACAAAGGUAAGCUCCAAUCUAGUGUCAGGGACUGUACUUAUUAAGAUAAUAUUUUCAAAGUCAGAUAGAUCUAACAGGUUCCUUUUGUGAUGGUUCCCCUCGGUAUACAAAACUAAUUGUAUUUUUAUUAAUGUAAUGGAGCAGUCUUUAUUGCUAUAAAAUGUUUUUAUGAAAGGAAAGAGAAAAGUUAAGGUCUGAUUCGAUCCAGGUUGAUAAAGAAGUGUGUUUAAAAAGGUUCAUUUGUGGAAUAACUAUAUGCAUAUUAUUGACCAAAGGAAAAAUUACCCCAAAUGUUGACCUGAUUCUCUAGAGAAAUGUGUUUAGGCAGCAGAGGGAUUCCUGGCGGGGACUGAGAAACUCCGUAAUGGGGGACUGCACUUGGUCUCUUUUGAGGUUGAUUCUGAUGUGUGUAGUCUUUACAUCCUAUUAAAUUUUUGAAAGAUAAACUGAUACAGGAAUGAUUUGCCAAGGCUAGCAACUCUUCCUUUUAAAACCUUGGCUCUGUGUACACAUUGAAGGGAUGGGGGAGUAAGAUAAAAGCAUUAUAAAUAUGAGGUUAACUGAAUUCAAAUAGAAGGUUCUCUCAAGUUAUUGCAUUCCUUAGAAAAUAAAUACAUUGCGCAUAUGGUUAAGAUUGAUCAAAAAAGUAUUCUGUAUGCCAGUGAUUACAUUCCCAUCUGUGAUUAAGGUUUUCUGCCUGCAUCUGGUUUUCACAUUAUAUUUCUGUAACAAGAAUCCUUUAUAUAGCAGAGUUCACUUUCUGUAUUUUCUAUUAGCGGCAGCUUGAACUACUGCACGGAUCGCAGAUUUACACAUGUGGUUUUCAUUACUUCAUACCAUUGAGAAAAAGUAAUAUUUGUUUGGGAAUGUAUGUUUUCCACAAUUUCCAUGGUAAUACAACAUGUUGAGCCUUUUUAAUAACACUCUUGUAGAACUACAAAUUGUUUGAGGCAUUCUACCCUUGGUGGAGUUUAGCUUUUAAACUUUUCUCGGUGUAUGUUCCCCUCAUCAUGGUGUUUAACAAAUUGGAGAGCUGAGGAUCUGAACAAAGCAAUUAUUAAAGAGAGACAUUUUACUAUCAUUUGUGGGGGGAUACGGACUUUAGUGUGGGUUUUGUAUCACCGCUAUCUGGGUAUAUAUUUUAUAGUGUUCAGUACCAUUACUUAUUAUUAUUUCAUUUUGGAAUGUGUUGGAUGUAUAAAACACAAACUUAAUACUCCAAAGUCAUUAUUUUAAAAAAAUUAAAUAUUAGCUUCUGUUUUUUUAGGGGGGGUCACUCUAUUGAUUGUGAUACAGUGUUUCAUAUGUAAACUAGUUAAGUGGGGAAAAUCCUCAUGGGUAACUUUAGGUUCUUAUUGUAUAUUAUUUGAAUGUGUAUUUCUAUGCCAUGUUAACAUUUAAGAACUUAUAAACAUGCACAUUUAAAAUAUUUUGUAACACUACCUUCCUGCCAACUUUUCUCCAUGCACUUCAGCAUGCUCUGAUUAUAAAAUAGACACAAAUUAAAAAGUGAAACAAUAUAUUCUGCAUGGGGGAGGGGGGAUCAUUUAUAAUUGAGAAAUUUAUCUUUCAAAGGAAGUAUAUCCACAUUGUAAUUUUGUGUCUCAAAACUGAGAUCUUCUACACCUUUUUUAUUAAUAAAUCUAGACAUUAGGCUCUAUUUAGCAGCCAUGAGAAGGAAGAAACGGACUCUAGGGGAUUUGUAUGUGCUUUGCCUCUUUCAUUUGUUCAGUGGAGAUAUUAACUAUGGCCCACCCUGGCAUGAUCCACUUUUAUUGGUUUCUCUGAUGUCUUUUGUUGGUGGUUGCUGAAGCACAAAAUAUUACAAAAUAUCAUUGCAUCAAAAAAAAUUUCUAUUUUCUCCUUUUCUGCAUAAUAUUUGUUUAUUUUCUAUUUAUAAAAUGUUUUUACCUUAGUAUAGAAACAUUGGAAAUAGGAUUGUGUAGAAAAUUACCCCUAUUUCCAUCUUCCAGAAAUAAUCAUUUGACAUCUAGAUGUAUUUACUUCCAGUCUCCCUCCCUUGCACCCCACCUCACCUCUGGUAUUUGACUGUUUACAUACGUGUACACACAUCCAUGUAUUUUGGUCAUUUUCUUACUGAAAUUUUUGCUUUAUCAUUUAUUAGGUUACCUGGUAAACUAAAUGUUCGCCAAGUUUCAGCUGAUUGUCUUUAGUGAUCUUUGCUGAGUCUCAAGGCAAUCUCAACUAAGAAAUGUCUAGUACUGUAUUUUUCCUAAAUGUUUAUUUAAUUUUUACCAUAAGAAAUAAGGAACAACUGAUUGCAUGAUACAGAAUCAUAAUGUGGCCCAUAAAGGACAUUGAUUUUUUAAUUUAUUUUUUAAGUAAAAUUUGCUUGUUUAUAUACAUCAGAGUAUAUUCACCAAUUUUAAUUUCUAGGGAGUACUUUGGCUCCUUAAAAAAAUAAUAGCAACAGCUUUAGUAAUACUUUUUGAGACUGCUUUUAUAAAUCUUUAUUCCUUUACAUUUACUGAGUUCCUCCCUUACGUGCAUAUGAUUGUGCUUGAGUUAUAGUUCAUAAAUUAUAAGAAUUAAAUAGUGAUACCUUUUUCUACACAUAGUCGUGGUAGUAAGAGUGAGUAAUAGGCACUCAAUAAAUAUUUGAGAAUGGAUGAAUGAAUGAAUUCUAAAGCUGCCAAAUCUAGCAGGAAAAAUGAGAACAUUUGGAUUUCUUUAGAGAAAAAGAGGAAGUAGAAGAAGUUUUUUGAUUUGGUAAGAUGAUUCACCAGUAAUUGUUGUUACUCGUAUUUUAAAACUAGUUGACUCCAUAGAUUAUUUGUGACUAAUAGUAGUUGUUUUAGACUCUUUUAGCUAAUAACGGCAAUGUUUAAAUUUCAGAAUGGUGAAGCACUAUGGAUACUACUUUGUUUUGAAAUAGAAUUUAUUUUGUAUGUAAAAUUCCAUACACUAAAAUAAACACAUAAUGUUUCAAAGCAUUUUCUAAAGAAAACAUAAUAGCUGACAGAUUAUUUAAUUUUUUUUUUUGAACAAGGUAAAAGCUAACGCAUUCUUUUAAGGUAUUGAUGUACAUAUGUUUUAAACCGAUUUAAAGGAAAAGGAGUUGUCAGGUUCAGAAUGUGUCUAGCUUUGAGUCAGAUGACUGGAGAAUUAAGAGUCCUUUAGAGCAUGUCCUUAUAGGAACUGAGAACAUGGGGAUUGUCUUGGAUUCUUCGAAAAUUUGGAAGAGUUUGUGUCUGUUUCUUAAUACAAACAAAACAAAACUGGUCUAGUAUUAUCGUGUAAGUGGAUGGGUGUGAUACUUCAGACUGGUUGUGAUAUAUGCAUUUUUUUUCCCUUUGUUGUUGUCAAUAGAAAAGAUUGAUCUCUGGGCUGGUGAACAUAAUAUCUGUCCCAGUCAGAAAAGGAGAGAGGAAAUUAGCAGAGCGAUUGGUGGAGAAUGAUAUCUGUCAAAAGAAACACUUGGAGAGCACUGAGUUUAGUAAUAGGUGACUGCCGGAAAAAAGGGAACUUUGAAUAUUGUCAAGGUGAAUGUUACUUCCUAAGCAGAAUUCAUGUCCAUGGGCACAUUAAAAAAAAAAAAAAAAUCUAACUGUAGGAAAACAGCAACUUUCAACUAAGUAUGUUAUUACCAUUUGGCAAGAGACUUCUUAAAGCCUGCAACAUUUCAAAAUUAAGGAGAACCCUGAAUUAUGGGUUCCAGAGAGUUGAUGCCUCCUGUAGCCAGCUCAGUUUUCGGGUUAGUGGGCUUGUGCAGAAGCACAGACGAUUAAAGAUAAA